CAGCCGCCGCGGUAAUACCGGCGGCCCGAGUGGCGGUCACUAUUAUUGGGCUUAAAGCGUCCGUAGCCGGGUUGGGAAGUCCUCCGGGAAAUCUGGCCGCUUAACGGUCAGAAUGCCGGAGGAUACUCCCAGCCUAGGGGGCGGGAGAGGCCGAGGGGAUUCCCGGAGUAGGGGGGAAAUCCUAUAAUCCCGGGAGGACCACCUGUGGCGAGGGCGCUCGGCUGGAACGCGUCCGACGGUGAGGGACGAAGGCCAGGGGAGCAAACCGGAUUAGAUACCCGGGUAGUCCUGGCUGUAAACGAUGCGGACUUUGUGUCGGACAAGCUAUGAGCUUGUCCGGUGCCGGAGGGAAACCGUUAAGUCCGCCGCCUGGGGAGUACGGCCGCAAGGCUGAAACUUAAAGGAAUUGGCGGG
rnacentral:rRNA from 1 species